AUUGAACGCUGGCGGCAUGCCUUACACAUGCAAGUCGAACGGCAGCACAGGGCAACCUGGUGGCGAGUGGCGAACGGGUGAGUAAUGCAUCGGAACGUACCUUUCAGUGGGGGAUAACGUAGCGAAAGUUACGCUAAUACCGCAUAUUCUGUGAGCAGGAAAGCAGGGGAUCGCAAGACCUUGCGCUGAUUGAGCGGCCGAUGUCAGAUUAGCUAGUUGGUGAGGUAAAGGCUCACCAAGGCGACGAUCUGUAGCGGGUCUGAGAGGAUGAUCCGCCACAUUGGAACUGAGACACGGUCCAGACUCCUACGGGAGGCAGCAGUGGGGAAUUUUGGACAAUGGGGGAAACCCUGAUCCAGCCAUGCCGCGUGAGUGAAGAAGGCCUUCGGGUUGUAAAGCUCUUUCGGCCGGGAAGAAAUCGCACGGGCUAAUACCCUGUGUGGAUGACGGUACCGGAAUAAGAAGCACCGGCUAACUACGUGCCAGCAGCCGCAGUAAAAC
rnacentral:rRNA from 1 species